rnacentral:rRNA from 1 species
GAUGAACGCUGGCGGCGUGCUUAACACAUGCAAGUCGAACGAAGCAUUUGCGAUAGUUUUUUUUGGAAUGAAGUCGCUCAUGACUGAGUGGCGGACGGGUGAGUAACGCGUGGGUAACCUGCCUUGUACUGGGGGAUAGUAGUAGGAAAUGGCUGGUAAUACUGCAUAAGCGCACAAUGUUGCAUGACAUGGUGUGAAAAGGUCGGGUGGUAUAAGAUGGAGCCGCGUCUGAUUAGCCAGUUGGUGAGAUAACAGCCCACCAAGGCGACGAUCAGUAGCCGAGCUGGGAGGCUGACCGGCCACGAUUGGACUGAGACACGGCCCAGACUCCUAGGGAACGAAGCAGUAGAGAAUAUUACACAAUGGAGGAAGCUCUGAUGCAGCGGCGCCGCGUAAGUGAAGAAGUAGUUCGUUAUGUAAAGCUCUAUCAGCAGAGAAGAUAGUGACGGUACCUGACAAAGAAGCACCGGCUAAAUACGUG